AGUGAACGCUGGCGGCGUGCCUAAUACAUGCAAGUCGAACGAUGAAGUCCUAGCUUGCUAGGCUGGAUUAGUGGCGCGCGGGUGAGUAAUAUAUAGUUAAUCUGCCCUACACAGAGGAACAACAGUUGGAAACGACUGCUAAUACCUCAUACUCCUAUUUGACAUAAGUUAAAUAGGGAAAGUCUUUUCGGUGUAGGAUGAGACUAUAUCGUAUCAGCUAGUUGGUAAGGUAAUGGCUUACCAAGGCUAUGACGCGUAACUGGUCUGAGAGGAUGAUCAGUCAAAUUGGAACGGAGACACGGUCCAGACUCCUACGGGAGACAGCAGUAAGGAAUAUUGCGCAAUGGGGGAAACCCUGACGCAGCAACGCCGCGUGGAGGAUGACACUUUGCGGAGCGUAAACUCCUUUUAUCAGGAAAGAAUAAUGACGGUACCUGAUGAAUAAGCACCGGCUAACUCCGUG
rnacentral:rRNA from 1 species